GGUCCAAAAAUGUAAACCCAGCAAUCCGACCGAAGACUCCGGUCUCCUCUCCAAAGUCCAAACGGAAAAACAAAAGAAAAAAAGAAAAGAAAACCUAAGAAAAAAUGCUGCUGCCCACCCCGUGACGCCGCCACCACGCAAGAGCGGCGAGACCCAUCUUGCAGACCCACGCGACACCCAUCUCGCCGUGACGCCGCUACUGGCUUUGAUCUUAAAAGCAAUGCCAGACUUCUAUCAAAUGAUACCUUUUUAAAUAUUUUAUGAACAGGUAUUAACUUGCAACUCAGUCUGAUGAGCGCCUAUACAUAUGUAAGAGUGUGCUAUGGUGCCAUAUUUGAAUUUCUUUGGGACACAACUAACUUCAAAAAAGUAAAAUAAAAUAACAGGUGUCUGUCUCUCUUGAUGACACAAUAAUUCUACAUGAGGGUGGGGAUAAGAAGCUGAUUGAAGAAAGAUGUGCAGAGGCACCUGCAUUCACAAUAGCCUCAAAUGCUGGUUUUGAUGGUGCACUGUUUAUUGGCAAAUUGUUGGAACAAGAUAAUCAUAAUUUGGGUUUUGAUGCUGCUAAAGGUGUAUAUGUUGACAUGGUGGAGGAGAGAAUCAGAGAUCCUCUCAAAGUGGUUAGAACGGCUUUAGUCGACGCUGCCAGGAUUUGCUCUUCUUCACCUCUGAAUCUAUCAAAAGGGCUGCUUUGCAAGCUAUCAGCAAUGACCAAGUUUCUGUUCCUAGCCUUAAGGACAACUCUGCUGUUGGUUGGCUUCUCUGCUGGUAGGUGACAAAUGCAAUUUCAAAGUUAACAUUGAGUUGGAGCUUGGAUUUGCCUAGAGUCUGCGCAUUAUCAAGAUGCCUGAAUUGAUGGAGUGCUUUUUGAUCAACACCACCGUUUGGCUAGGCCACUGGUGAACUCAGGAGAACGAGGCUGCCCCAGAACUCUCAACUGGUUAAACUUGUUUGCUACCAAACUGAUUUGUGGGGUGGAUAGAAGAGUCUUGCCGACCACUGAGCCUCUACUAUGAGAUUCAAUGUUUUGUGAAUAGCAAAUUAAAUCUUCAAAAUAUUGUCAAUAUUCUUACCUUACAAUUAACAAAAAAAGAAAAAAAAAAUCUAUAUAAUUUUGAGAUCGCAUUUGAAUAUAUAAUAUAGUUUUUUUCCAA